CUGGAGCAACUGGGGGUUACGUGUCUUGCUCAGGGACACAUUGGCUAGUGUAUUGCAGUGAGAAUCGAACCUAGAAAAAUUCCUACUUUAC